UACGUAGGGAGCAAGCGUUGUCCGGAAUCAUUGGGCGUAAAGCGCGCGUAGGUGGCUUCGUAAGUCCGUUGUGAAAGUCAAAGGCUCAACCUUUGAAAGCCGAUGGAUACUGUGAAGCUAGAGUACGGAAGAGGCGAGUGGAAUUCCUGGUGUAGCGGUGGAAUGCGCAGAUAUCGGGAGGAACACCAAUAGCGAAGGCAGCUCGCUGGGACGUUACUGACACUGAGGCGCGAAAGCGUGGGGAGCGAACAGG
rnacentral:rRNA from 1 species